UACGUAGGUAGCAAGCGUUGUUCGGAGUUACUGGGACGUAAAGGGUGCGUAGGUCGGUCCUAUAAGUAUUGGUGUGAAAUCUCCCGGCUUAACUGGGAGGGUGCGCUAUAGACUGUGGGACUAGAGUGUGGGAGAGAAAGUGGAAUUCCUGGUGUAAGCGGUGAAAUGCGCAGAUAUCAGGAGGAACACCGGUGGCGAAGGCGGGACUCUGGGCCGAAUACUGACGCUGAGGAGCGAAAGCGUGGGGAGCGAAACAGGA
rnacentral:rRNA from 1 species